GCGAGGCCCCGCCCGCCCAGCCGCGGGGCGCGGAGUCUCGCGAGACAGGCCCAAGGCCCGCUGGGUGCAAGCGCCAUUUUGUUUCGCUCUGCGGGGGACAGAGUCGUUACCGGAGCCGCAUUACUCCGAAAGAGAAUUCCUGGAAAACAAUGGAUUGGAAAAUAUAGGCGACCAAGAGUGGUAACCCUUUCAAUGAAGCAGGCAAUGAUCCGAAGGCUGGAAAUUGAAGCAGAGAAUGAAUAUUGGCUGAGUCGAUCUUACCUGACACAGGAACAGGAAUACAAUCAUAAUGCAGAAGGGAGACGUGCAAAAUGGGAAGCUUUCAGAAGCCUGCUAACAUCCAAGUUUCCUGAGCACA